GACCCUUACAGACGCAGAUGCCGGACCCGAAGACGUUCAAGCAGCACUUUGAGAGCAAGCAUCCCAAAUCCCCAAUGCCCCCAGAGCUGGAUGAUGUUGAGGCUUAAAAGACCAACACACACAAUGGACCUACAGCUGGACACACGAUGACCACGAUUAGAGCGCUGCAACUGGAACUUAAUGGCGUCAAGAGACAAAAUACUGAGACCCCUGGACAUGGGUGGGGGAUAUUUGUAACAAUGACAUAAAAAGGGGGGCAGAAGCACACCAGCACCCCAUAUUAUAUGUCCAACCAUCCCUGAACUUCAGACUCUUUUGAAGCGCCCAUCUUAAUUAUAUGAGCCCACUCUACCUACAUCCCUUUUCCCCAUGGUGCUUCCUUCAUUAAUACCUGAUUCAGUAACAUCUAGACUCUUACACGUCUAAAAGUAUCAGGGUGUUACUGUUUUUGCAACUUUUUCUCAGUUGUGUACCGCUGUCUUACUUUAACCACCAACUCUUUUCUAUACCUCCUCCCAUACACUCUUGUGCAAAUCAUUUCUGCUUUCUUUGAGAAUGGUGUCAUAGUGGAAAGGAUUUGUUAUUUGCCUAAGACUGAGUCUUGUUCUGCCUGUAAAAGGCCCUGGUUGAAAUAGUGCCAAAAUCACUGUUGAUAGUCACCUGGUCCACGUUGUAACAGUUGUAUUUUGCAUUUGACCAUUUCCAAGAAAUGUAGCAAUAUAUAUGAAAUCAUUCCUCUGCCUAUUUGAUCCAUUCUGAAGGAAAGCAGUGCAUAUGUUUUGUGUGUGAGAGAGAAUAUGUAUGCCUUGUAAAUCUAGCAGAAAAUGUGUUGCUUCCAAAUGCAAGUUAAACGCCAUUCCGUCUAUACUGAUACCAGACAAAUGCAUACUUACAAGUAUUUUCAAAUGUAUUUCCAAUAUACUGGAAUGCUAUGUAGCUGGAGAGGGGUUGGAGUUUCUGGAGGUCUGUGUUCACUGGCAAUUCCUCUCACUUCUGCAUCAAAUCAACCUCUACAAUAUAUAUUUUACUUAUUUUAUUACAAAUAUAGCAGUACACAGUCCUCCAUAAAUAUAUUGACAAUGACACAUUCCUGUGUAUUAGAUCCUCUGUACAUAGAAAAUCUGCAAACAAAUAGGAAUGACAUUUGCCAUUGCUACUAACUUGUACUUGUUCAAAGUAUAAUUAAAGAAAUGUAAAAAAAAAAAU